AUUGAACGCUGGCGGCAGGCCUAACACAUGCAAGUCGAACGGUAACAGGAAACAGCUUGCUGUUUCGCUGACGAGUGGCGGACGGGUGAGUAAUGUCUGGGAAACUGCCUGAUGGAGGGGGAUAACUACUGGAAACGGUAGCUAAUACCGCAUAACGUCGCAAGACCAAAGAGGGGGACCCUCGGGCCUCUUGCCAUCGGAUGUGCCCAGAUGGGAUUAGCUUGUUGGUGGGGUAACGGCUCACCAAGGCGACGAUCCCUAGCUGGUCUGAGAGGAUGACCAGCCACACUGGAACUGUGACACGGUCCAGACUCCUACGGGAGGCAGCAGUGUGGAAUAUUGCACAAUGGGCGCAAGCCUGAUGCAGCCAUGCCGCGUGUAUGAAGAAGGCCUUCUGGUUGUAAAGUACUUUCAGCGGGGAGGAAGGGAGUAAAGUUAAUACCUUUGCUCAUUGACGUUACCCGCAGAAGAAGCACCGGCUAACUCCGUG
rnacentral:rRNA from 1 species